rnacentral:siRNA from 1 species
GGAUCAAGGUUAAGCUACUUUAUC